UAAUUGAAGAGUUUGAUCAUGGCUCAGAUUGAACGCUGGCGGCAGGCCUAACACAUGCAAGUCGAGCGGUAACAGAAAGUAGCUUGCUACUUUGCUGACGAGCGGCGGACGGGUGAGUAAUGCUUGGGAACAUGCCUUGAGGUGGGGGACAACAGUUGGAAACGACUGCUAAUACCGCAUAAUGUCUACGGACCAAAG
rnacentral:rRNA from 1 species